AUUUAGUCCAUUCCGAAGUUGUAGUUUGUUUUGACAUUUCCGUUUUAUUUAACCUAACCUAUGUUUUGUGUUUUAUUGUUUAUUGUGUUGUAUACAAGGAGUUGUAUAUUGAAAUUGAAUUGAUUCUUGUUUCAUUGAAUAUAGAGGAGUUGUUCUGUUGCAAGUUGUUCUAGUUUUGUUGUUUUAAAAUCUGCGAAAAACUAUUUAUAGAUAAUGGUGAACUUAAACAAGAAAUGGACAUGCAGUUUGCUGAUUACUUAAUUGUGUACUCACAACACAUAGGAUUUCUCUGACACAGUUUCCAGUACAGAACUGCCACAGGAAUCUCCAGUGGAGUUGCAACCGCUCUCACGGACGUCCACAAAUCAAGUUACAAAACUGUUACAUGACUCUAUUGGAGUUGCAACCGCAAUUGGAUAAAAGUGAAAUUCGAAUAAUGCCAGAAAGACUAUAACCGUCCAAAGUGAUAGUGUGAAAUUAAAAUCAAAUGAUUACGUAUAAAUCAUAUUUAUAAUAAUUAUAAAUAGUAGCUGUAUUUUUUAAAUAAACAGAUUUGAUAAGUUA
rnacentral:lncRNA from 1 species